rnacentral:sRNA from 1 species
UGUUGAAAUAUGAGCCAUAAUUCACAAUAUGCUCAAGUUUUAAUUUGUAUUAAGAUAAACACUUCCACACCAUUGGGUUUAUGGUUCCUAAAAAUAAUAUUAUUUCUUUGUGUAUUGUUGUUACCCACAGAGUCCUCAAUACACUGUUGCAUCUCAUUAUCAUCUUCUUUGAUCUAAUAUGCUAUCCAUUCAGAAAAAGCAUAUAUUAUGUCUAGAUUCAAUUUGCGGAUUCAAGGGUGAUUAGAACCAGACUUGCCUGGGCUCUCAACAUGUAACCAUAGCAUGAGUAUAUUUUCUUCUUCUCCACUGGAUAGUAUAAAUUGGAUCAGUCCAAGCACCUGUUUUGUAGAGGCUAGAGAACUCAGUAACCAAUGCUCUUGCCACAUGAGAAAGCAUCAACAGAAGUUCAUGCUGAAUUGAAAUACAAGAAAUGUUAAAGCUAUCCUUGAUCGAGCUGAAAAAGAACUGCUGCUCUCCGUAUCUCCAUCCAACAUCAUAAGAGUAGUACAAUUUUCUCCUCGAGGAAAAAAAAACGAAGAAAAGAGACGAAACAGAAUUUGCACAGAAGACUAUGCAAUGGAAGAAAACGUUAACAGGGUAAAAUUUGCAGUCUGCUUCUGAAAGAUAUCACUACCACCCCGUUGUAGCCUCUCCUUUGGUAGGAGCAAGGUUUUAAAUUAUUGCAGUUGCAGUUUCGUUGCAUUUAUUGAGAGAAAUUACAUAAUAAUGUGGCUAUAAUUUCAGUCACAUACACUCCAAAAACAUUGAUGUUGCAGCUGAAAUCACAGUUGCAUACCGUUUUCAAAACCUUGGGUAGGAGCAUAUACGAAAAAGAAAACAUUACUUUGAUUGAUAUAUGCGAUCGGAGUGUUAAAGGAUGGUUCACACAUCAUAACGGGAUCAUAACUUGUCCCUAGCAAAUGAAACAGAGGCAUACAUUAUGAGUAAUUCUCAAAUACUUACUUUUGGUCCCAAAUUGCCCAGGCUUCCCGUAGAAGAGUGAAAAAUCAGAAUUGAAGGUAUGGUUAUGCCUCCCGAUAAUGACCCUUGUAUGCUACUAAUAACUCCUCUGCAUUUUCCCUGAACUGUGAUAUAUACUUGUCCAAAAACAUCUCCUCAGACAAGCACAACACAUGAAUAUAACUGGGGACUUUCUUGCAGAGAUUUUUUGAUUUCAACAGCUGGAAGACUUUAUAUCGAGGAAGCACGCGAUCCUCCAUGCUGUACAUUAAAAUCUGAGGCCGGUGAAUAAGGACUGACUUGGGCAGCACAACUGUAUGCAAGAAGAACUUCAUUCCAACUUUCAACUUCAUCUCUGAUGUUCUGAACAAAGUCGGGGUUCUCUUGAACAUUUGUAGGCCCUCAUCGUUGGAAAACCCAAAACUAUUAAUUAGUUUCAGCUUUCUCUCAAAUGUUUUAUUGCUCAAACAACUUAAUGUAUGAAUUGCAUGGACAAGCAUUCUUGAAUUUUCACGGAAGCCCAAGUCUACAGCUCGAGAAACAAGGUUUUCAAUAGUGGACUGCUGUGCAAUGAAAAUCCUUGGGUGAAGUUUGAGUAGCAAUGCAAAAUGAGUCCCAAGAAUGCCACACCUCUCCAAGAAGAAGACAUUGUCCAUAAACCUUUUGUACUUUGGGAGUAUCCAGCCACAUCUGUGCAACACAAGAAUAAAAUCUUUCUGGUCGCACACAAUUUUCCUAAUAGCUUCAACUGAGGGGACCAAUGUUUUCUUCAAGCUAUGAGUCAAAAUGGAGGGAUUCUUUGAAAUGAAGCUACAUAACUCGCGACCCUGGAAUCCAGACAUCUGAAAGAACUGAAUUUUGGAUCUUAAGAUUUUGUCAACGUCUGUAAAUAGUAUCUGGGGUCUUUGACGAAUCACGGAGAGAAUCUGGCUUUGCGAAAAGCCAAUUUGUUUGAAGAAAGUGAGGACUGAUAAGGGGUUUUGAGGGAAUUUGGCCUGUGAAACACGUUUGGAGAUAUAAAGGGAUUGGGUUUUGGAGAACUGGAAGUUGGAAUUUAGGUAAUCAAUUAUUGAACUGGUUUCGUUGAAGUGUAGGCAACGGCAUUUGGUUGAGAAAGAGAGGAAGGAUGUCAGAGACUGAGAAGAGAAUUGAUUGAAAAGAGAAAAUAAAAGAGCAGGGUGUGACUUUAGAGAUUGCAUUAGUUUAGUGAACAAGAAUGAAUGAAUGUUUUGUUUGUCGUCAACGAACAAACAAACUAUUUCUUAGGUUGUCUAUUUCGAAUUUCCAGAGACCAAAACGUUGUCCGUCUCCUAUAUUACCAAGUUUUCCAAGUUUAUGCGAGGAUGAGAGCCUUGUUUGAUUGAGAGGAGACGAAGGAACAAGCAACAAAACCCUAAGUUCAGCUCUGCACCCAAAUAACCGUCAGUCAUGGACGAGUAGGGCAUUUUGUUCUCUACGCUUGAAAUUUCAACUUACACCCCCUG